AAGUCGUAACAAGGUCUCCGUUGGUGAACCAGCGGAGGGAUCAUUACUGAGUUAUUAAAACUCCAAACCCUUUGUGAACCUUACUGUCGUUGCCUCGGCGUGAGCUACGGCUACCCUGUAGUUACCCUAUAGCUACCCUGCAGCUACCCUAUAGUUGACCAGUAGCUACCCUGUAGUUACCCUAUAGCUACCCUGCAGCUACCCUAUAGUUGACAUGUAGCUACCCUGUAGCCGGCUUAUGGCCCGCCGAAGGACCGCUAAACUCUUGUUUUUUUUACCACUGUUUCUCUGAAUUGUAAACUUAAAUAAGUUAAAACUUUCAACAACGGAUCUCUUGGUUCUG
rnacentral:misc_RNA from 1 species